AACGAACGCUGGCGGCAUGCCUAACACAUGCAAGUCGAACGAGACCUUCGGGUCUAGUGGCGCACGGGUGCGUAACGCGUGGGAACCUGCCUUUAGGUUCGGAAUAACUCAGAGAAAUUUGAGCUAAUACCGGAUGAUGUCUUCGGACCAAAGAUUUAUCGCCUUUAGAUGGGCCCGCGUUGGAUUAGCUAGUUGGUGGGGUAAAGGCCUACCAAGGCGACGAUCCAUAGCUGGUCUGAGAGGAUGAUCAGCCACACUGGGACUGAGACACGGCCCAGACUCCUACGGGAGGCAGCAGUGGGGUAUAUUGGACAAUGGGCGAAAGCCUGAUCCAGCAAUGCCGCGUGAGUGAUGAAGGCCUUAGGGUUGUAAAGCUCUUUUACCCGAGAUGAUAAUGACAGUAUCGGGAGAAUAAGCUCCGGCUAACUCCGUG
rnacentral:rRNA from 1 species